rnacentral:lncRNA from 1 species
CUUCUAGACUUCCCAUGUUCCAAGUCCACUUCUGCCGGCAGAAUAGAAACCUCGUCAGUUAUCACAACUCAGAUGAAAAAGCCUCACAGCUUGCGGUGUUGACAGUAUUCUAGAAGACCCUACACCCCUGUGGCUUCUCGAUGACUAAUGUGGAGCCAGCAUCUGUCAGCACAAACUCAGAGUGAUUACCCAGAAAUAGGUAUCCUUCUAAUUAAAAUAUCUGACCAUGUCCCCAUCAGCCACUUGCCUCAUUUGGGACACCACCAACCAUCCUGCACGGCUGCCCAUGUUUCUGUUUCUCCAGCCCAAGCAUGCAGUUUCAGUAGGUCCUUCAGAGGCUGCCUGAAAGGAGCUCCUGAAUUUCACAGACAAAUCCAGACCCCUGUGUGGAAAGCCUGCGGUGGUGUUCUCCGUCUUCCCACAGGACUCCCUGCAGCCAGGAAUUCUAGGGGAGCACCUGACGCGAGGUAUACGCCCAGAUGGCCUGAAGUAACUGAAGAAUCAC